AUCUCCACCUAUUCUACCUUACACAUUGGCUAAAAGAAAGAACACCUUUUCUCCGAGGCUCAAAUCAAGGUUCUAAGGAUAAUUUCGAUAAAAAAAAAAGGUCGGCUUGAAGGGCUCAAACGGUUCAAAGAAGGCCCAAAUCAUAUCCCAAAUCACUCACUACUCAAUACUUCGUAUCAUAAAAUUCCUAAGGUGAGUCUAAAAACCGAACAUAGCAUGAUCUAGCACAAAUUAAUUCCAAAUUUAAAAUACAAAACAUUCAACCAAAGCAAUGCACAAAAUGUGAUUCCUAGCAAUAAUUUGCGUCUAAGUUUCGUUGAAUCGAAAGCUAAACAAACAUCAAAUCCUUAUCACACAAAACAAGCAAUUUCAUCAUCAAACAUUGACCAUCUCUCAUCAUCAUAAAUCAUCGAUGCAUUCGACUCAAGCAAUUUUUUUUUUUUUUUUUUUUUUAUAAUCCGGAAAAAAAUAACGAUAAAAGCAAUAAAAACAAUAAAAACAAAUAAAGCCUAAUGCAUGCAAACUAAAACAAAUAAGCAUAAACAUAUGUUUUUCACCCCCAAAUUUAAAAUUUUCGUUGCCCUCAACGAAAUUAGCACAAAGUUUAAGGAUAGAAAACACCUGAUGUAGUCGGAGUCGAUGUCUUCGGGGUGUGAGAAUUUGUGGGAAAUAAAUUUGAUUUUCCUCUUGCGAAGAUGCCCUCUCUGUCUCUCGGAUGACCGUGCCGAUCGCAAUUCCGACCUUAAAAAUAAGAAAUCAAAUAAAUUAAUUAGAAUGCAUGCCUAUGAAAAUAAAAAUAAAACAUAAAAUUGAAGAAAAAUAUAAAAAACAGCAAAGCUCGGGUUGCCUCCCGAGAAGCGCUAAGUUUAAAGUCUUCAGCCAGACUUUGCUUCUUGAAAUUGUUAUGUCCAAUCCAAAGCCUUGUAGAUUGCGCAUCCAUCCAUGAGCUUUGUCACUUCAAUUGCAACCGAUACAGGGAUAGGAUUGCAAUAUGUCAGGGUCCACUUUAGCUUGUAAUCUUUCUUGGUUGUAAUCAAUCGGUACGAAGCCAAGAUGGGAUCUUCAUCACCCGCUCCCUCAAAUUGGUACACAAAAAUCUCACGUCCGCGUAUAACCUCCACUUCAAACACAUUCGUCUUCUCAUCAACCUCUAUUGAUGCCUUCAAAGCCACGUCAUGAACAACAAUAAUAUCCUCAAUUUGAAUAUUUGCACUAACCACAUCCAUCUCCUUCUUCUCUUGUUCCGAGAUAUCUUUGGAGUUUAGCUCAAAUUGCAUUAUUGUCAGAUUCAUCAUCCUUAAGCGUCUUCGUUAUUUCUUUUUCCCUCUCAUCGACACUAUUUUCUAGGUCUAAAGGAUUUUUUUCACCGCAAAUUUCAGACGGAUUUUCUUUGUUGCAACCAUUCUCGAUAUUAUCUGAAAUAUUUUCAAGAGACCUUUGGCGCUUGAAUUCUUCCAAUUGUAACUCCAGUCUUCGGAUAGAUGCUUGAGUGGAUUUCAUAAAUUCUUCAAGGACGGAGUUCAAAUAACACUCUUGAACAGUGGGUUCUCGUGGCGUGUUGGUGUACGUGUUCCAAUAACCACCGUUGGUGUUAUCUAUGAAAUUAUUUGCUCUCGGUGCAUACCAACAUUGGUUAGUGUAAUGAUCUCCACCACAUAUUGAACAAAGUGACGGCAUAUCAUAGGUAUUUUGGAGGUAUUCGCCAGACGGAAGCCGUUCAUAUCCCGUUUGAGGUGCGCAACCUGACAUGUAACCAAAGAAAAAAAUAUAUAUUAAAAAAAAAAUUAAAACGAAAAGAUAAAAUUCAAAAAAAAAAAAAAAAUUGGGUGAAUCGUGAAAAUUGUUCAAAUUUAGAGCUAGAAUAAAAUAAAUAAUUAAAAUAUUCCCCGGCAACGGCGCCAAAAACUUGUUGGCCGAAAACACGCAAGUGCACGUAUCGUACAAGUAAUAUAGUGGACAAUUAAGUCAGGAUAUCGAACCCACAGGGAAUAUUUAAUUACUUAAUCCUAGACGCUAAAUUCUACCAAUUAUUAUCAAGCCCACCCUACACAGUCGAGUUUUGAGAGAAUCAACUAAAUUAAACUAAAUUAAAAGCAAGCAAAAACAAGAAAGCAAUUUAAAACGAAGAUUUAAUCAAGAUAAGCAAGCCUAGGAUUUUAUUCUUCCCCCUAUGUGAUUAUUACUCCCCCAAUUCCUUCAAUUAUGCAAGCAAUUAAUCCGGAUUAUUAACCUGGGAUGCUAAAAUAAUCAUAACCCGCUUCCGCGUGUAUUACGAUUUUAAUACGUACUCUAGAUUCAAUUACUAUAUUCCUAUGCAAUUAAUUCUAGAACACAGCAUUAAGCACAAAUCUCAAUAAUGGCUACCUAAGAGAUUAACUAUAUUCCUAUGUUAAUACCACAAAGGCUCUUCUACCACAGUUCUAAUUAUUAACCCGAUCUUCCGAUUCAUGCGAUUAACAAUAACAUAAAAGCACAUAAGUUGAUCAAGUUCAUGCACUUAAUAAAACAAGUAGAAGAAAUAAUCCGGAAUUAAAACUUGCAUAAAAUCAUAGAAAAGGGUUCAUAAAUCCCACAUAGGGUUCAAAAUAAAAUCCUAGAAAUAAAGACUUAGCUACUCGUAGUUCUUAUGAUAAAGAAAAUAAAAUAAAUAAAUUAAAUAAGAAAAACUAUGCUUGAAUCUUCGUUGAUCUUCUUUGCUCUUGAAUUUGCGUCCAAAGAUUGAUCCCUAAUUGUGUGCUUGACUUGGUCUUAUAUAGGGUGGAAAACUUGGGGAAGAAGGUAGUUUCCUUGUGCAAUUAGGAUUCCUUUACUGCGUUUUUUCGUCAUCUCGGACGGCCGUCCCGAAUUUUGUACUAAAACUCGGACGACCGUCUCACAACCAGACACUGCUUCUGGUUCUCAGACGGGGGUCCCAGAAUUUGCACUAAAACUCGGACGGGGUCCGAGCUUUAAAUCUUCAGAAUUUUGAUUUUUUCACUUUUGGCCCAUAUUUUCUCCAAAAUUGCAGUUUUGACCCCAUACUUUUCCAAUUCUUCAAUUUGUACCUAAAAUACAAUAAAUCAACUUUUUAAGUACCAAUUAUCGUUAAAACACACCAAAAGCUCAAAUAAAAAGGUACGAUAAAGUGUAAAAAUAUACACUUAACACACCCCCAAACUUGAACUUUUGCUUGUCCUCAAGCAAAAUCUACCAAUAAGCAAAUAACUCAACUAUAACAUCUCAUCACAUAGAUCAAUGAUCAACUUCACGUUUUCAGAACUUGUAAUUAUAAUGACAAUUCUUAGGCAUUCGCAAGCUCAAAAUUCAACAACACUUAGUCACUCGCCAUUACAAAAAACCACAAUUCAUACAAUUGCUUCAAGCAUCCAAUAUUUGCAAAUUAAAGAUAGAAAUAAUUUAUACUUACAUGCAUAUGCUUGACUCAAAAUACUCACCAAAUUAUUCUAGUCUACUAAUAUCGAACAUUAAGCUAUUGGGAUCAUUGGGGCUUUGUGGCUUUCAAUUGUUAGGCUCUUUGGUUCGAGGUAGGAAAUAUGGGUAUGUGUGGCUAUUCUUCUUGAAUUUAGGUGAUUUCGCCAAAAUUUGAAAGAUAGGCGUUUGAUACAAUGAAUUCACCUCUAUGGACUUUAAUAAACUCGAUUUUAAAAAGUUCAAAAGUCUCCACUUUUGCUUUUGAGGCAAUGGAUCGAGUUUUCAAAAAAUAAUUUAACAACUAGUCCUUAUUUCUCCCUUCUAGUCUCUUCUUCUUCUUCUUCUCUUUCUUUUUUUUUUUUUUUUUUUUAUAUAUAUUUAUAUAGAAGCAUAAUUAUUUGUCUUCUUUUUUUUUUUCUUUUUUUUUUUCUUUUUUUUUUCGAAGAAGAAGAAGGACCUUAUAAAAUUUUUCGACCGAACUCCAAGGGGUAAUUUUUCAAGAAUCUCCACCUAUUCUACCUUACACAUUGGCUAAAAGAAAGAACACCUUUUCUCCGAGGCUCAAAUCAAGGUUCUAAGGAUAAUUUCGAUAAAAAAAAAGGUCGGCUUGAAGGGCUCAAACGGUUCAAAGAAGGCCCAAAUCAUAUCCCAAAUCACUCACUACUCAAUACUUCGUAUCAUAAAAUUCCUAAGGUGAGUCUAAAAACCGAACAUAGCAUGAUCUAGCACAAAUUAAUUCCAAAUUUAAUAUACAAAACAUUCAACCAAAGCAAUGCACAAAAUGUGAUUCCUAGCAAUAAUUUGCUUCUAAGUUCCGUUGAAUCGAAAGCUAAACAAACAUCAAAUCCUUAUCACACAAAACAAGCAAUUUCAUCAUCAAACAUUGACCAUCUCUCAUCAUCAUAAAUCAUCGAUGCAUUCGACUCAAGCAAUU
rnacentral:lncRNA from 1 species